rnacentral:lncRNA from 1 species
AAUAUUGUAAUACUGAAAUCUCUAUCUUCUUCUCUUUUUGUUUUCCUCCAGAAUGCCCAUAAGCUUUUGAGUACAUCCUCAGCAUUACCAGAAGAGAAAAGGUGAGAAGGGAUUUGAGAAUCAGGCUUAGCGUUUUAAUUGUCUUCCGUCAUCCAUCCAUCCAUCCAUCCAUCCAUCCAUCCAUCCAUCCAUCCAUCCAUCCAUCCAUCCAUCCAUCCAUCCAUCCAUCCCUUCCUUCCUUCCUUCCUUCCUUCCUUCCUUCCUUCCAUCCUUCCUUCCUUCCAUCCAUCCAUCCAUCCAUCCAUCCAUUCAUCCCCCUUUAUACUCAGCAACACCCCUGCGAGGUAGAUUAUUUGGCAUGAGCAUGGCUGGUCAAAGUCACACAUUAAGUUUCACAGGAUGGGAACCCCGAACCUUCCAAUUCAGAGUCCAACAUUCAAGAAACCAAACCGCCUUCACUCUCAGGACGCUCUGCGUAGCCACCUUUAAUCAUCUUUGCCACAAACUUAUAAUGUAGGCCAGUCCUCAGUUACAUUGCAGACAGUGAGGACAGUGUUUCAAGCCAACAUUUUAAGGCCAUCUUGCCAGUUUGUGGCUCAGAUGGGAACUUGGAAUAUCCCCCAUGGAAACCCCAAAGAACAUUUAUUAUCCUGUUUUUUUCCAGAGCUGAGAGCCGAGCCAAGGAUGAGAACACAGAGGGGACCUCAGAAGUUUCUCUUCCACCCUCAGAACCUGAGUGCUUCUUGAUAGCAGAAGCAAAUGAACUAUUAGAACAGAUGUCCCUGUCGCACCCGACCAAGGAUGCUUUCCUGCGUGACGGUGACAACUGUCCGGCUGGUGAUGGAACCCCGGAGUACAAAGACCACCUUUAUCAGAAGACGACAUGGCCCCCUCCUCCGAACCAGGGCAGUGGCAACAAUACACAAUUCCCAAACGCCUGCAGGGAUCUUUCUGAGAAGCCAGCGUAAGUCCCAAGCGGCAGCACCCUCCUUUUCUGGACCUUGAACAUUCGAAAUCUGGACCGUUCUGCUUUGGAGAAGGGAGAGUAUGAGAACUCCGCACACCGACACACAUAUUUAUCUUUGGACUGAUUUUUUUUUUCUCCACCCGUUCAAGCAACAAGCCACCUCUGCGUUGCUCCAUGCAAAGCUGUUCUCCCUCAUAUUUCACCUUUAGAUGGAAAUAAAUAAAUAAAUAAACAUUUGAGGCA